UACGAAGGGGGCUAGCGUUGUUCGGAUUUACUGGGCGUAAAGCGCGCGUAGGCGGCGCAGCAAGUCAGGGGUGAAAUCCCAGAGCUUAACUCUGGAAUUGCCUUUGAAACUGCUGUGCUUGAGUGUUGGAGGGGAUAGCGGAAUUCCUAAUGUAGCGGUGAAAUGCGUAGAUAUUAGGAGGAACACCGGUGGCGAAGGCGGCUAUCUGGACAACAACUGACGCUGAGGCGCGAAAGCGUGGGGAUCAAACAGG
rnacentral:misc_RNA from 1 species